GAGCAGAGGUUAGAGGGCCUGCAAAAGCCCAGAAGUAGGAAAAGGCAUGGGACAACGAAGGACCCGAGAAGUGGGCAGCAUGACUGGAGUGUGUGGUGAAUGACAGAAGCCUUCCAGCCUAUUGCCUCUCUGCCUCCCCCUUCGCGAGUAUAACGUGUUUGCAGGACAGACUGGGUCGUGGGCUCCAGCUCUUCUCCGAAGAGAAGCUUUGCCAUUUGUCUGACAACUAACUGUGCCUGGUGCUGUGCUGGGGUAUCCGCACCCCUUACUAGAGUGGCCCAGAGGAGUUCGAAAGCCUCCUUCCUCAAAUGAGGCCCGGCCUCAGCAGCAGCGGUAUUGCCUGGGGUCUUGUUAGAAACGCAGAAUCCCAGCCCUGGCCUGAACCUACUGAAACAGAAGCUGCAUUUUCAACUGCAUGCCCCCAGGUGAUUUGGAUGUGCCUUCGUUGGAGAAGCACUGAUCUAAAGGGUAACUGGUCGGAGAUCACAUCUCAGCCCCAUCAUUCACAGGCAAAGAGACACAGCAAGAGAGAGAACACAAGCAGGGCAAGUGGGAGAGAAGAAGCAGAUUCCCUGCUGAGCAAAGAGCCCGAUGUGGGGCUCCAUUCCAGGAUCCUGGGAACACAACCUGAGCCGAAGGCAAAUGCUUAACGACUGAGCCACCCAGGAACCCCAUUGCUGAAUUCUUGAC